CGAGAAACUCCAACAUCAUGGAAUGUUUCCGGCCCUGGAAGUAAACCCAUUCACUAUCCUGAGGAAAGAAGAAUUAUUAGUCAUGAGACUUCUAUGACAACUCAGAAUGAAGGAAAGGUCUUCUCAAGGAAUCAAAAGGAGCUACGGGAGCAAUGAGCCUGUAUUCCUGACCGGCAACAAACGGCUGAAGAGGGCCGCUGCCACGCCUGCUCCGCACGAGCUCAUCCACAUAGUACUUCUCUAUUACCAAUCCUCAGACAAGGAGACUGCACAAGAGCAGAUGUACCCAGCAAACACAGGAAGCGAGCAUCAUCCUGUGGAUGAAGCUGAACAUGUCUUUCUUGAUCUGCCACACAUUUCAUAAUGACCUUGGCCAACUUACCCAAACCCAUUUUCUUUCACUUUCCUUUCCUCUAAAACUGAGUAUGGAGCUGACCUAACUUAGCAGAACGACUUGGAGAUUUUAAAAACAAAUAAACAAAAUAAGACUGUAUGCAAUGAUUUGAUGAUAACAAAUGCUAUGAAAGUUUCAAAUGAAUAUCAUAUUCAAGAUGACUGUACCA